GAGUAAUACGUGAGUAACCUGCCCUUGACUCUGGGAUAAGCCCGGGAAACUGGGUCUAAUACUGGAUGCUACAUGUCACCGCAUGGUGGUGUGUGGAAAGGGUUUACUGGUCUUGGAUGGGCUCACGGCCUAUCAGCUUGUUGGUGAGGUAAUGGCUCACCAAGGCGACGACGGGUAGCCGGCCUGAGAGGGUGACCGGCCACACUGGGACUGAGACACGGCCCAGACUCCUACGGGAGGCAGCAGUGGGGAAUAUUGCACAAUGGGCGAAAGCCUGAUGCAGCGACGCCGCGUGAGGGAUGACGGCCUUCGGGUUGUAAACCUCUUUCAGCAGGGAAGAAGCCACAAGUGACGGUACCUGCAGAAGAAGCGCCGGCUAACUACGUGCCAGCAGCCGCGGUAAUACGUAGGGCGCAAGCGUUGUCCGGAAUUAUUGGGCGUAAAGAGCUCGUAGGCGGUUUGUCGCGUCUGCUGUGAAAGCCCGGGGCUUAACCCCGGGUGUGCAGUGGGUACGGGCAGACUAGAGUGCAGUAGGGGAGACUGGAAUUCCUGGUGUAGCGGUGGAAUGCGCAGAUAUCAGGAGGAACACCGAUGGCGAAGGCAGGUCUCUGGGCUGUUACUGACGCUGAGGAGCGAAAGCAUGGGGAGCGAACAGGAUUAGAUACCCUGGUAGUCCAUGCCGUAAACGUUUGGGCACUAGGUGUGGGGGGACAUUCCACGUUUUUCCGCGCCCGUA
rnacentral:rRNA from 1 species